AAGUUUGAAGGAAAUCAAUGCUGUAACUAUUUCCUUAUUAUGACAGUUCUUAAAAAGUGUGAUAAGGUUGUUAUAGGAAACAGUGAAAAUUCCCUAAAUUUCUGGGGAUUGUAGAUUUUGUAUUUGUAACCUAAAUAGUCUUUAUUUUAACUUUUUUUUGCAUACACCAGAAAUAUGAUUUUGCUCUAGUAGUCCUGCCAUAAUAAUGUUAUACUGUGCUGAAGUCUCAUAAAAUCUCUUUGGCUCAGCAAAAGCCUUUUCACAAACAUCCUCAGUUUGGAUCUUUGUGUCAUGCCACAGCACUGUUUUACAAAAGCUGAGCUGCCUUCCCAGAGCCUCUCUCACAUAAAUUGUCCAAAUUUCAGUGCAUCGCUAAUGUAGAAGUCCUUAGAUAUCAAACCUCAGGUGUCACUAUACAUGUAAACCAAAACAUUGUAGCACUUAUAGCGUAAGGAUUUAUAAAACACCAAUAUUUGGGGUCUUAAGGGUAUUUUAUGAUGCAGCUGAAUGGAGAGACUGAUUGAUUUGUAUUCUGAAGUAGAAAAGAAUGUUAAAUUUUAAUUAAAAUUGACAGUAUGUUCUAGUAACAUAAGUGUAAUAUACACUAUACGUGUAUGGAAAUUUAGCCUACAAUAAGUAUGCAAGGCAAGACAUUUAGUGCUAAAAUGAUACAUCUAUGAAAUAAAAACAUUUUAGAUUAUGAAAAUAAACAAUUAUGACAUCCAUCCAAAGAAUAUUAACUUUGCUCAGUAGUGCUAUAUAUCAUGCAAUAGGCUUUUGGCUGUUAGGCUUUUUAGUUUACCAAUUAAAAUUAGGCAUUUUAAUAUUCAUCUUCCAGCUUAGCUUGGUUAGUUUCUUUAUAAAAAUGCUUUCUAAUCCUUCUGAUAUCAUUAAAUGAAAAUUCCUUAUCCAAAAGCCCUCAGCUUUGAAAGAUUUCUAAAUAUAGAAUCUAAGUUUUGUAGAGCCAAUUGUUUUCUGCUGAGAAUGUAGUAAAGGAGAAAUGAAUAGCAUUUAAACAGAAGACAAAACCAGCAGCUGGAGUUGGCAAAUAUUGUAAGCUGGUUAUAGUCCUUUUCUUGUUUUAACUCAAUAGUGAGGAACUGGGAAGAGCAGUUGCCUUUGCAGUGCAGAUUAUGAACAAAAUCAAAUGCUAGGGGACUUGUCACUUAAAGCUAAUUCCUAAAUCAACUAUUUUUUCCAUGUUAAUCACUUCCUGAUUAUAGCGUCUCUCUGUCCAGUGAAGAACCCUCCUGAUUUUCCUUUUUGGAAGUAAUUUUUGUGGGAGAUUCUGAAGGGGAGGAAUUUGAGUGGCAAGUGCAUCUUUUGCAGAGAGGACAACUGGAAAGAUACAUUGUACUUUAAGAAAAUACUCAGGUACAAACUCAUGAGAGUACAAUUACGGGUGAUGUACAUGCAUGUGCAGGGAGCUGGUUGGCAAGAACCUUGGGGGGAUGCUGAGGCAAAUGGAAGCUCCUCAUGUAUGGACAAGGAUCCUACUCCUGAGUUCAAUUGAGUGGUAACACAGCUGAGUGACUGUGUCUGCAUCAGAGGGGAAUAUGUCUGUGCUGUUAACAUGGACUCAUAGCUAUGCUUUGAUUUUA